rnacentral:rRNA from 1 species
GAUGAACGCUGGCGGCGUGCCUAAUACAUGCAAGUCGAGCGAACGGACGAGAAGCUUGCUUUUCUGAUGUUAGCGGCGGACGGGUGAGUAACACGUGGAUAACCUACCUAUAAGACUGGGAUAACUUCGGGAAACCGGAGCUAAUACCGGAUAAUAUUUUGAACCGCAUGGUUCAAAAGUGAAAGACGGUCUUGCUGUCACUUAUAGAUGGAUCCGCGCUGCAUUAGCUAGUUGGUAAGGUAACGGCUUACCAAGGCAACGAUGCAUAGCCGACCUGAGAGGGUGAUCGGCCACACUGGAACUGAGACACGGUCCAGACUCCUACGGGAGGCAGCAGUAGGGAAUCUUCCGCAAUGGGCGAAAGCCUGACGGAGCAACGCCGCGUGAGUGAUGAAGGUCUUCGGAUCGUAAAACUCUGUUAUUAGGGAAGAACAUAUGUGUAAGUAACUGUGCACAUCUUGGCGGUACCGAAUCAGAAAGCCACGGCUAACUACGU